rnacentral:rRNA from 1 species
GAUGAACGCUGGCGGCGUGCUUAACACAUGCAAGUCGAACGAGAAGUGAAGACGCAAACCUUCGGGCGGAAGGCUUUAUUUCGAGUGGCGGACGGGUGAGUAACGCGUGGGUAACCUGCCUCAUACAGGGGGAUAACAGUUGGAAACGACUGUUAAUACCGCAUAAGACCACAGCACCGCAUGGUGCGGUGGUAAAAACCCCGGUGGUAUGAGAGGGACCCGCUUUCGAUUAGCCAGUUGGCGGGGUAACGGCCCACCACAGCGACGAUCGAUAGCCGAGAUGAGAGGCUGGCCGGACACAUUGGGGCUGGGACACGGCCGGAACUCCUACGGGAGGCAGCAGUGGGGAACAUUGCACAAUGGGGGAAACCCUGAUGCAGCGACGCCGGGUGAGUGAAGAAGUAUUUCGGUAUGUAAAGCUCUAUCAGCAGGGAAGAAAAUGACGGUACCUGAGCAAGAAGCCCCGGCUAACUACGUG